UCAGUAGGCCCUCCCAAAAAGGCGCUUCCUCUGAAACCUGACACCUGACAGGUGAGGCAACACCGGCCGGGCGGCCUGUUUUGAAAUACACCGAAUAACGUAACAGUGAGUACAUUUUUUCCAGGAGUCCAACCAUUAGGCAGACCUGGCUAUAACCUGGGACACAUCCAGAAAUGUGUCCCAGCGUUUCCCAGUCAUAAUUACAACUUGAAUGUUAAUGUGAACACUCCUAACAAGUUGGAAACUGGCAAUUAUGACAACCCAAAAAUGACUGGAAUGCAGCAGCAGACCCUCCGUGCUCGGAGCAAUAAUGAAGUAUUUUGGUCAUGAUGCUGACACAACCAGAGAUGAUGAAAGCGCUGCUCCAAUGGUAACCUCUGAUGAAUGCCAACCAACUUCUUCUGUUUCGGAGAUCUCUUCUCCACCUCCACCAACUGAUCCUGCUCAGAGGCCAUCAAAUCUGUCUGACCAAGUAAAGACCAACUUGGUUUUUAGGGGUCCUUGAUUUUAAUAUACUGCCGAUCUGAACCUUUUGAAUCUUACAUUUGUGUUGUACUGAAGGUGUUUUGCUCUUUACAUUGGUAGUUCUUCAGACUGUGAUGAAAUAUUAUCACUUUUUUUCUGUGUUAAUACGACAGGUUUGGAGUCACGUCCUUAUAUACAGUCUAUGGGACAAACACAGUUAAUGCCAUUUUAGAGUUUUACUUUGAAUGUUUCAGAGUGUAUUUUAUUAGCAGUAAAAGAACUGUGGCCCGUCAUGUUGCUAGAGGUACAAAUAAAAUAUAUAAGGGUUAUAAUUGCA